GAUGAAGAACGCAGCGAAAUGCGAUACGUAAUGUGAAUUGCAGAAUUCAGUGAAUCAUCGAAUCUUUGAACGCAUAUUGCGCUCUCUGGUAUUCCGGAGAGCAUGCUUGUUUGAGUAACAGUAAACACCUCAACUUCCAUAUCUUUUUUGAAAUGGGAGUUGGACUUGAGUGAUCCCAACGCUUUUCCUCACCGAAAAGUGGCGGGUUACUUGAAAUGCAGGUGCAGCUGGACUUUUCUCUGAGCUAUAAGCAUAUCUAUUUAGUCUGCCUAAAAAACAGAUUAUUACCUUUGCUGCAGCUAACAUAAAGGAGAUUAGUUCUUGUGCUGACUGAUGCAGGAUUCACAAAGACAGCUUCGGCCGACUUUGUAAACUCGAUCUCAAAUCAAGUAAGACUACCCGCUGAACUUAAGCAUAUCAAUAAGCGGAGGA
rnacentral:misc_RNA from 1 species